UUUCAGGAUGAUAACAUCUCAGACCUGUACCGAGCCCUGACGGGGAUGCGGAUACUCUAUAUUGCCUUUGUUUUCUGAUU
rnacentral:snoRNA from 1 species